GCCAAUAUCUCUUCAACAGGAAAAAUCAGACUUCCACUAAGUCCUUUUGUUCAAUGGGUUUCGGUUUCCAAAUUACUCAGUUUCCGUUGAUAUAACUUGGGCUAUACUUGAUCUUAUUUUUUUGUAUAUAUAAGAUUCCACAAACAAACAUCAUAAAGGAUCUUACUUUGUUUUUUGGUCUAAACUAUUUUGUGUUGUAUUGCUGAUUUAAUGGGAUUUUCUUUGAAAUCUUUAGGUUUUUCUCUUUCUUCCAGUUCUUCAUUGUUAACCUCAUUCUCUUCAUCUUUGAAUUCUACGCUAACACCCACACCCAAUCAAAAGUUGCAUAAAAGGGGUGUCUCUUUUUCUGAUUCUCCUUCAACUCCUCUAGAAUUCGUUUCCAGAAUUGCUUUCACCACCAACAAGCGAUUUCCUACUCUUAAGGCACAUGCUACCAUUACUCGAACUGAGGAACCAAA
rnacentral:misc_RNA from 1 species